rnacentral:lncRNA from 1 species
AAUGUGGUGCUAGGCAAGCACUGUACUGAGGUAUAGCUGUAGCCCUGAUUCUCUUAUAUAGGAUAUAUACAUAAAAGAAUAUAUAAAUGUUUUUAAAAGGUUUUUUAAGCUGGAUUAGUCGCACACACCUGUCACUCCAGCAUUCAGAGGCAGAGGCAGAGGCAGGUAGAUAGAUCUCUGAAUUUGAGACCAUCUUGGUCUUCAUAGUGCUAGACUAGCCAGGAGUGAGAUCUAACUACCCCUCAAACAGUUCUCUAUAAAAGUUUGACAGCUAUACUUAAAAGUUUAAGAGGAGAAACCUUAAAGCUGUGUUGCCACUGAGACAGUGAUAGAUUCAGAAGAAAACAUGUCUGCUUAACUUACGCUGCCCAAGAUGCCAAUUAAUUCAUUUGUGUAUAGGUACAGGUUAUGCACAAAUGUACAUAUAUGUGUAUAUACCUUAAGUUAUUUUUUGAACUACUAACAUGAUUUUAAGCUUACAGAGGAGUUGUAAAAAUAGCAUUCCUGCGUAUCCUUCGUUCACCUUCCCUUUGUUUGACAUCAUCUCUGAUGAAAACAUUUGUCAAAAUUAAGAGUUAAUAGUGCUAUAAUAGUAGCCGAAGUGGCCAGCUAGCAGUAGAUGCUUUAUCUUUUCAGUAGCAUCCUUUUAACCGUUCAGAGCCUAUUUUGCAUUUGGUUGUCUGUCUCAGUAGCCUCUCGCUCUGUGCCAUUAUACCAUGAGGAUAGCGGGUGUUGUCAUGUGUUUCUGGAGUGGUUCACAUCGAGCACUCUUCUAAAGUGGUGUCUGCUAGGAUCCUCUGCUGUAAGCUUUUCCCCUGCUUCCCUUUGUAAUUACUAAGUAUUUGCUAGAGACACUUUGAGACUAUGCAAACAUCCUGUUUCUGCUUAGUUUGCCUUUGACUAUCUCCUGGCCGAUCUUGCUUGUGGCAUUUACUACUGUGGUGUUUAAAUGGUGAUUUUCUAUUCUCAUUUCUUCUAUAUUUAAUAAUUGAAAUUCUUGAAGGGACUGUGGUUUAUGGAUUUAUAUUUUUAAUUAUAACAAGAUAUUCAGGAUAGGUAUAAACUCAGAACUUAAAGAUAUAAAUUAUGUUAAUUGAUUCCAGUGGCCAGUAUCAAAGAAAAAAAAAGCAACAUUUGUGACCUGUCUUUGAAAAUGUAAUCAAUUUAAGGAGGAAACUAGUAUUUAUGAUUUGUAAAUUUUGUUAGACUUUUGACUUGAACUUGAUUUGAAACUGAAACAAUUUUCUUUUGAAAUUCACAUCUAGACUUUUUUAAGGUGUCUAAAUUUAUAUUACUUUGGGGG